rnacentral:rRNA from 1 species
AUUGAACGCUGGCGGCAGGCCUAACACAUGCAAGUCGAGCGGAUGAAGGGAGCUUGCUCCUGGAUUCAGCGGCGGACGGGUGAGUAAUGCCUAGGAAUCUGCCUGGUAGUGGGGGAUAACGUCCGGAAACGGGCGCUAAUACCGCAUACGUCCUGAGGGAGAAAGUGGGGGAUCUUCGGACCUCACGCUAUCAGAUGAGCCUAGGUCGGAUUAGCUAGUUGGUGGGGUAAAGGCCUACCAAGGCGACGAUCCGUAACUGGUCUGAGAGGAUGAUCAGUCACACUGGAACUGAGACACGGUCCAGACUCCUACGGGAGGCAGCAGUGGGGAAUAUUGGACAAUGGGCGAAAGCCUGAUCCAGCCAUGCCGCGUGUGUGAAGAAGGUCUUCGGAUUGUAAAGCACUUUAAGUUGGGAGGAAGGGCAGUAAGUUAAUACCUUGCUGUUUUGACGUUACCAACAGAAU